GAUGAACGCUGGCGGCGUGCUUAACACAUGCAAAUCGAACGAAGAAGAGUUGAAUGAGAGCUUCGGCAGGAUUUCUUCUCAUCUUAGUGGCGGACGGGUGAGUAACGUGUGGGCAACCUGCCCUGUACUGUGGAAUAAUCACUGGAAACGGUGACUAAUACCGCAUGUCAUCACCGGAGGUCAUCCUCUGAUGAAAACAGGAUUUAGUCGGUACAGGAUGGGCCCGCAUCUGAUUAGCUAGUUGGUGAGAUAACAGCUCACCAAGGCGAUGAUCAGUAGCCGACCUGAGAGGGUGAUCGGCCACAUUGGGACUGAGACACGGCCCAAACUCCUACGGGAGGCAGCAGUGGGGAAUAUUGCACAAUGGGGGAAACCCUGAUGCAGCAACGCCGCGUGAAGGAUGAAGGUUUUCGGAUCGUAAACUUCUAUCAACAGGGAAGAAACAAAUGACGGUACCUGAAUAAGAGGCCCCGGCUAACUACGUGCCAGCCGCCGCGGUAACAC
rnacentral:rRNA from 1 species